rnacentral:rRNA from 1 species
GUGUCAGCAGCCGCGGUAAUACGGAGGGUGCAAGCGUUAUCCGGAUUUACUGGGUUUAAAGGGUGCGUAGGUGGGUCUGUAAGUCAGUGGUGAAAUCUCCGGGCUUAACCCGGAAAUUGCCAUUGAUACUAUAGGUCUUGAAUCAUCUGGAGGUAAGCGGAAUAUGUCAUGUAGCGGUGAAAUGCUUAGAUAUGACAUAGAACACCAAUUGCGAAGGCAGCUUACUACGGAUGCAUUGACACUGAGGCACGAAAGCGUGGGGAUCAAACAGAAUUAGAUACCCCUGUAGUCC